rnacentral:misc_RNA from 1 species
GAUGAAGAACGCAGCGAAAUGCGAUAAGUAAUGUGAAUUGCAGAAUUCAGUGAAUAAUCGAAUCUUUGAACGCACAUUGCGCCCGCCAGUAUUCUGGCGGGCAUGCCUGUUCGAGCGUCAUUUCAACCAUCAAGCCCCCGGCUUGUGUUGGGGACCUGCGGCUGCCGCAGGCCCUGAAAAGCAGUGGCGGGCUCGCUGUCACACCGAGCGUAGUAGCAUACAUCUCGCUCUGGGCGUGCUGCGGGUUCCGGCCGUUAAACCACCUUCAUAACCCAAGGUUGACCUCGGAUCAGGUAGGAAGACCCGCUGAACUUAAGCAUAUCAAUAAGCGGAGGA